rnacentral:lncRNA from 1 species
UGACGCAGGCGCGGUUGGAAAGAAGCUGAGGACUGGAUGUGCGGAAACCAGGCUCUUCAUUCGAUGUACAAAAACCACAAGAUUAUCUAAAUAGAUGCAGAAAAGGCCUUCGAUAAAAAUCCUCAUUCCUUCAUGUUAAAAACUCUCAAUAAACUAGGUAUUGAAGGAACAUACCUCAAAAUAAUAAGAGCCAUUUAUGACAAACUCACAGCCAGUGUCCUUACUGAAUGGGCAAAAGCUGAAAGCAUUCCCCUUGAAAACCAGCACAAGACAAGUUUGCCCUCUCUCCCAACCCCUAUUCAAUAUAGUAUUGGAAGUUAUGGCCACGGCAAUCGGGCAAGAGAAAAAAAUGAAGAGUAUUUAAAUGGGAAAAGAGGAAGUCAAACUAUCUUUUUUUGCAGGUGACAUAAUCCUAUAUCUAGAAAACCCAUUGUCUCAACCCAAAAGCUUCUUAAGCUGAUAAGCAACUUCAGCAAAGUCUCAGGAUAAAAAAUCAAAGUGCAAAAAUUGCUAUACACCAACAACAGGCAAGCCAAGAGCCAAAUCAUGAAUGAGCUUUGAUUCACAAUUGCUACAAAAAGAACAAAAUACCUAGGAAUACAGCUAACAAGGGAAGUGAAGGACCUCUUCAAGGAGAACUACAAAGCACUGCUCAAAGAAAUCAGAGAUGAUGCAAACAAAUGGAAAAACGUUCCAUGCUCAUGGAUAGGAAGAAUCAAUAUUAUGUAAAUGGUCAUACUGCCCAAAGCAACUUAUAAAUUCAAUGUUAUUCCCAUUAAAUUACCACUGACAUUCUUCACAUAAUUAGAAAAAACUAUUUUGAAAUUUAUAUGGAACCAAAAAAGAGCCUGAAUACUGAAAGCAAUCCUUAGCAAAAAGAACAAAGGUGGAGGCAUCAGGCUAGCUGACUUCAAACUAUACGAUAGGGCUACAGUAACCAAAAUAGCACGGUACUGGUACAAAAACAGAGACAUAGACCAAUGGAAAAGAAUAGAGAAUACAGAAAUAAGACUGCACACCUACAACUGUCUCAUCUUUGACAAACCUGACAAAAACAAGCAAUGGAGAAAGGAUUCCCUAUUUAAUAAAUGGUGCUGGGAGAACUAGCUAGCCAUAUGCAGGAUAUUGAAACUGGCACCUUCCUUACGCCUUACACAAAAAUCAACUCAAGAUGGAUUAAAGACUUACAUGUAAAACCCCAAACUAUAAAAACACUAGAAGAAAACCUGGGCAAUACCAUUUAGGAUAUAGGCAUUGGCAAAGAUUUCAUGAUGAAAACACUAAAAGCAAUUGCAACAAAAGCAAAAAUUAGCAAAUGGGUCUAAUUAAACUAAAGAGCUUCUGCACAGCAAAAGGAACUAUUAACAGAGUAAACAGACAACCUACAGAACGGGCGAAAAUUGUUGCAAUCUAUGUAUCUGACAAAGCCCUAAUAUCCAGAAUCUAUAAGGAACUUAAACAAAUUUACAAAAAAAAGCAACCCCAUUAAAAAGUGGGCAAAGGACAUGAACAGACACUUCUCAAAAGAAGACAUACAUGUGGCUAACAAACAUGAAAAAAGCCUUCACAUCACUAAUUAUUAGAUAAAUGCAAAUCAAAACCAAAUGAGAUACCAUCUUACAUCAUUCAGGAUGGUGAUUAUUAAAAAGUCAAAAAAUGACAGAUGCUGAUGAGGAUGUGAAGAAAAAGGAACACUUUAAUACUGUUGGUGGGAGUGUAAAUUAGUUCAACCAUUGUGGAAAACAGUCUGGUGAUUCUUCAAAGACAAAGAGGCAGAAAUACCAUUCUACCCAGCAAUCUCAUUACUGGUUAUAUACUCAAAGGAAUAUAAAUCAUUUUCUUAUAAAGACACAUGCACAUAUAUGUUUAUUGCAGCACUAUUCACAAUAGCAGACAUAGAAUCAACCUAAAUGCCUAUCAGUGAUAGAUUGGAUAAAGAAAAUGUACAUAUACAACAUGGAAUACUAUGCAGGCAUAAAAAGGAAUCAGGUCAUGUGCUUCGCAGGGACAUGGAUGGAGCUGGAGGCCAUCAUCCUUAGCAAACUUACACAGGAACAGAAAACCAAAUACUGCAUGUUCUCACUUACAAGUGGGAGCAAAAUGAUGAGAAUACAUGGACACAUGGCGGGGAACAACACACACUAGGGUGUGUUGGAGAGUAGGGAGAGGAUCAGGAAGAAUAACUAUUGGAUAAUGGGCUUAAUACCUGGGUGAUAGGAUGAUCUGUGUAGCAAACCACCAUGGCACACAUUUACCUAUGUAACAAACCUGCAUAUCCUGCACAUGUAUCCCUGAACUUAAAAUAAAAGUUGGAAAUAAAAAAAAAAGAGUGAUUAUGUCAGGGACUAGGUGGUAGCUGUGGAGAUGAUGAAAAGUGGUCAGAGUCUAGAUGCAUUUUGAGGGUGGGCUUGAUUGGCUGGUGGAUUAGAUGUGAAGGAUGAGAGAAGAAAAAGGUACUAGGAUGACUCUAGAGUUUUUGCCUUGAACAAGAAAAAAGGAUGAAUGCCAUUUACCAAGAUUAUAGAAAAUAGCCAGUCUGUUUAUUCUUACACUAUCAAUUGACACAACUUCCAGUUAAUAAGUUCACUUUAUUUUCUGAAAGUUACAGGAGAAGACUUUACUGGUUAUGACCUUAUACUGCUUUAAUGGUCAUCUGUAGCCAAAAUCAUGGACAUAAAUUCUGAGGAGGGUUCCUGGUAAGCCUCCCAUUCCUGCUAUGAGAAGAAACCAGCAUGCCCAUGCUUCCCAGCAGCAUACUGUAAUUGCUAAGUGUCAAUGAUGAUGUCAGUUUUAGUGUCUCAGUAACAGUUGCUAGAGGAAGGAAGGAAGGAAGGAAGGGAGGGAGGGAGGGAGGGAGGGAGGGAGAGGAUGAAGAAAAAGAACGAAAAGUUAGAAACUAUGUAGUCCCAGCCUCUAGAAGCCAGAGGCAUGAGGUCUACUUAGGGUCCUCUUGAGACAGGUGAAGACUUUUCAGUGUCACAAAAUUAAUAUCACAAAGUGAUAUUAUGUUAGUAUUAUGACAUCAAAAUGUGUGGGCAGGCUGGGCACAGUGGCUCACGCCUGUAAUCCCAGCACUUUGGGAGUCUGAGGCAGGUGGAUCACCUGAGGUCAGGAGUUCAAGACCAGCCUGGCCAACAUGGGGAAACCCCGUCUCUAUUAAAAAUACAAAAUUAGCGGCGCAUGGUGGAGCAAGCCUGUAAUCCCAGCUACUUGGGAGGCUGAGGCAGGAGAAUCACUUGAAUUCAGGAAGAGGAGGUUGCAGUGAGCCGAGAUCGUGCCAUUGCACUCCAGUCUGGGCAACAAGAGUGAAACUCCAUCUCAAAAAUAAUAAAAUAAUAAUAAUAAUAAUAAUAAUAAUAAUGUGUGGGCAGAUGUCAUCUACACCAUAGUUUCAGAAUGCAAUAAAUUCACAUUUAAAAACCUUGAAGUACACCGUAUCAAAACUUUACUUCAUCUUUCAUUCUUAUGUGAUUCAGUUGAUAGGCUGGAAGAACAAUGAAAGUGAGUUCCAUCAUGCUGCCUGGUGUCCGUGUCCUUAAUGAUAAAGACUUUGAGUGUAUUUGCAAACUCUCUGUUAAUGACAGCAUUUUUUUUUAUUCUGAGCUUUAUUAAGGUAUAAUUGACAUACAAAAAUUGUACAUAUUUAAGGUGUAUAAUGUAAUGUUUUGAUAUACAUAUACAUUCUGAAAUGAUUACCAAAAUCAAGAUAAUUAACACAUCCAUCACCUCAUAGUUAUCCAUUUAGCAAAUCCUUUACUAGGUGGCAAAAUUGAUUUUAAAAUCACAUUUUUAUCCCCUUGAAGUUUUUUCAUCUGUAAAUUUUCAAGGGCAGUCUUUUAAUAGAAUACAAACAGCUCAUUCCUUAUGUGGCUCCAAGCUGGCAUUUCAGCAUUGGGUUUAAACUUUAGAGCAACAUAUGAAAAUCUCCUGAAUAAACUUGUCAAUGAUUAUGGUCAUCAAAACUUAGUAUGAUCAAGGAAACUGGUUUUUGCAUAAUAUUCUGAAUAUUUAAACUCCACAGAGCUUGAAUAAAUGAAGUACAAAUUAAACAUAUCGAUUUUUUUCUUUUGGUACAUGGUCUAUGUUAUUGCAGAUUAGCAUCCCAAAUCCCAAAAUCCCAAAUUUGAAAUGCUUCAAAACUGAAACCUUUUGAGCACUGAUAUAAGUCUCAAGGGAAAUGCAUUUUGGAUUUCAGAUGCUCAACCAGUAAGCACAUAAUGCAAAUAUUAAAAAAUCUGAAAUCCAAAACACUUCUGGUCCCAAGAUAUGGGAUACUCAUCCUGUACCAUGGUAAAUGGUUAGUUCUUCCUUGGCUUAUGCCAGUGGUUCUUGAUUUAAGCCCCAGGAGAUAUUGGAAAUUUCUGGAAACAUUUUUGGUUGUCAAAGCUUGGGGGUGGAGUAUGUUUCUGGCAUCUAAUGGGUAGAGGCCAGGGAUGCUGCUCAAUCUUAUAAUGCAUAGGACAGGCCCCAGAAGAAAGAAUUGCCUGGCCCAAAAUGUCAAUCACUAGUGCUGAGGUUGAGAAUUCUUGACUUAGGCCAUAGCCGUUCCACAGCUCAAGUCACAGUUGCAUUCCUUUAGUUGAACCUUACAGUUCAGUUGUUCUACUCAAUAUUUGAAUGCUGAAGGAAGACUGGCCCUCUAGGGUUGUAUUUCUAGAACAGGGAGAAUGUAGUACUUUGAGGUUGCAUGCUUUAGAAUUAGUCAUUAUGUGAGUUGGAAGACCAUUUGAUUCUUUAUUAGAAGUUAGCAAGUGUGCCAGAUUAGACCUUCACCCAAGAACGUCAUGAGGGUUAAUGAGAGGUUUUUAAAAGAUAAUAGUUAUCUUUGUUUCAUGUUUAACAACUUUAUGCAUUGGCUGGUCAUUCCAGCUCCACAGAAAGCUCUUCAGUUGAGUUUCAAUUACAGCCCGCAAUUCCAGAUGCUACAACAUUUUAACUGUGGCUGCCAGAUAUCAGUGAGAUUCACAGGCCUGGAGUACAACAUUCUUUACAAUGUGUGCUUCAUAUUUUGAAGGCCAUCUGUCUCAUUUUCAUCUACAAUUGGCUCUGCCGAAGUUUUGCAUGCCAAAUGAUAUUUUUUAAAAUAAGCUUUUGUGCUACUUUAAAAAUGUUUCAAAAAUAUCUUCGAGAUACAAUUCACACACCAUGAAAUUCAGCCAUUUAAAGUGUACAAGUCAGUGGUUUUUAGUAGAUUCACAAAGUUGUGCAACUAUCACUACAGUCUAAAUUUAGAACACUUUCAUUACUCCAUAAAGAAACCCCAUGCCCAUUAGCAGUCACUCCAGUUCCUCUCCUAGUCCUGGGCAACCACUAAUGUAAUUUCUGUCUCUAAAGAUUUGCCUGUUCUUAUGAGGAGUGGCGGUGUACACCUGUAGUCCCAGCUACUUGAGGAGGCCAAGGCAGGAGGAUCAUUUAAGCCCAGGAGUUUCAGGCUGCAGUGAAUUAUGAUACUGCUACUGCACUCCCAUCUGGGUGACAGAGUGAGAACCCAUCCUCUAAAAAAAAUAAAGAUUUGCCUAUUCUAGACAUUUCUUAUAAACAGAAAUAUACAGUAUUUUGGGACUGCUUUUUUUCACUUAGCAUAAUGUUUUUAAGGUUCAUCCAUGUUGUAGCAUGUAUAAGUAUUUCAUUUCUUUUUUGUCCAAAUCAUAUUCCAUUAGAAGUAUAACCAUAUUUGAUUUAUCCAUUUAUCGUUUGAUAGGCAUUUGGGUUGUUUCCACAUUUGCCUACUAUAAAUAAUGCUGCUAUAAAUAUUCACAUACAAGUUUUUCUGUGAACACAUGUUUUCAUUUCUCUCCAUUAUUAUUAUAGGCUGAACUGUGGCUCCACCAAAUUCAUAAUUUGAAGUCCCAACCCCUAGUAUCUCAGGAUGUAACUGUAUUUAAAGAUAAGGUGUGUAUAGAGGUGGUUAUGCUAAAGUAAAGCUGCUAGGAUGGGGGCUCUAAUCCCGUAUGAAUAGUGUCCUUAUAAAAAGCCAUCAGGGGCCUGUCCGCACAGGGAAACACCAUGUGAGGAUACAGAAAACAACCAUCUGCAAGAAAGGAGAGAGAUCUUAGAAGAAAACAGACCUGCCAGCACUGUAAUCUUCAACUGCCAGGCUCCAAAACUGUAAUAAAUAAAUUUCUGUUGUUUAAUUUACUCAGUCUGUGGUAUUUUGUUAUGGCAGCUCUAGCAGACUAUUACAGGUAAAUACCUAGGAGUAGAAAUGUUGGGUCAUGUGGUAACUCCAUUUAACACUCCAGGUACCUGCCAGACUGUUCAUAUGAGUUUUUGUAUGAAUAUAUGUUUUAUUUUCUCUUAAGUACAUAGGAGUGGCAUAGCUGCUAGGUGUACAUUUAACUAUUUAAGACACGGAUAAAUGGUUUUCCAAAGCAGCUGUACCAUUUUACAUUCCUACCAGCAAUGUUUGAGGGUUCCAAUUUUCUGUAUCCUUAACAAAACUUGUUAUUGUCUAUCUUUUGACUAUAGUUCAGGGACUAAGCUCUGAUUUUUAUCUUGCCCAAAUUCCUACCUAAGAGGUCUGGGGAGUCAUGUCCUACAAACCAUGGAUCCUCAUCAGAUGGCUUUUAUUUGACCAUGUAUAUUGUGACUUGCUUUUCAAUCUGACUCUGGCGUGACAUUAUGAGACAAGGAAAUAAUAUUUAGCCCCAUAAUAUAUUUCCUUGCCAUGCCUCGAAAUUGCCCUGCAAAGUCUCUUGUGGGAAAAAUCCACAUUCCAUAGAAAAUCUCCUUCCCCUUUUAUUUUCUUUCCUUUCUUUGCAGAUCCAGUGGAUAAUCAACUAAGAGCUAGGCAUCCUUUUAGAUUUGAUAAGAAACAUUUUACAACCUACCCUCUCUCUGAAGUCUGCCAUCUGAGAGAUUCUUCUGAACAAUAAAACUGGUUCUCCACAAUCCUUUAUCUUAACCUGAACAUUCCUUUCUAUUGAUCCCAAGUCUUUAGACAAAUUCAACCAACUGUCCACCCGAAAAUGUUUAAAUUUACCUAUAGCCUGGAAGGCCCCACUUUGAGUUGUCUCACCUUUCUGAACCAAACCAAUGUAUUUCUUAAAUGUAUUUGAUUGAUGUUUUAUGCCUCUCUAAAAUAUAUAAAACCAAGCUGCACCCCGACCACCUUGGGCACAUGUUCUCAGGACCACCUGAGGGCUGUGUCACGGGCCAAGGUUGUUCAUAUUUGACUCAGAAUAAAUCUCUUCAAAUAUUUUACAGAGUUUGACUCUUUUCAUCUACAAGUCAUGUGGUGUAAAGUGAUAGCUCAUUGUUUUCUAAUAGACUAUUUUCUACGAAAGUUUUAGGUUCACAGCAAAAUUGAGCAGAAAGUACACAGAGUUCUCAUAUACCCCUGCCUCCCCCCAACCCCAUGCACAACCUUUCCUACUAUCAAUAUCCCACAUCACAGUUGUACAUUUGUUUCAAAUUAUGACACAUCAUUAUCCAAAGUCCACAGUUUAUAUUAGGGUCCAUUUUUGGUGUUGUACAUUCUAUGGGUCCAGCAAAUGUGUAAUGACAUAUAUCCACCCGUGUAGUAGCAUACAGAAGGCUCACUGUCCUAAAAAUCCCGUUUUGUUUAUUCAUUCCUUCCUCCUCUCCAAACCUUCAUAUUUCGGUUUUGAUAUCUACUUUCCCAGCUGCUAAAGCUGUUGAUCAUCUUUUCAUGUGCUUAUUGGUCACUUACAUAUUAUCUUCUUUGGAGAAAUGUCUAUUCAAAUCCUUUGCCCAGUUUUAAAUUGGGUUAUUUGUCUUUCUGUUGUUGACUAUCACUUUUUAAGGUUGAGUUUGCUCCCUGCCAAGGAGGAAAACCCAUGACUUUUGUCUACUAUGAGAAAAACGCUAAUACUUUAUUAUUCUGGAGAAUGGCUUCCUCAGGAAUUUCACUGUUCCUUUCUACUUGAGAUUCACUAAAUGUUAAUACAGCCACUUUGUGGUUUCGGAGCAGAGCCAUCAUUUUUCUUGGCAGCCAGAUUUAUAGGACUCCAAAAGAAACAACCAGCAUUAGGCAGUAUUAAAUAAAAUUUGGAGAUAAAAGCUAAUCAGUGUGUAUAACAAUUACUGAUAUCAAAAUCAAGGAAUAAGAAUCAAAUAGCACUUCUUACUGUUCAUGGACUUCAAAAGAUUUAUAUGAAUUUGGUACUAUUAAAACUUCCUCUAAAUUUAAAUAUGAAACAGAUGGGAAUAAUACAGUUACAUGAGAAAUAUUAGUCAUUUCUCAGUGCUUAUGAGCUGGGUCCCUUUGGUGGACAGUAUUUGUGCAAAUGUUUUAGUAACUACAUGACUCUGCUCUGUUGUGAGCCAUAGUUAUCAUAUUUUUAUUUAUUCUAACCAGUUAAAUUACUAUUUACUGAACACCCACUGCCUCUUGUACUGAAGUCAUUAAAUUCUUUGAUACAUUUUAAAAAAGAAAUAGUUGCUUUUUCUCUGUUUACUAACUUUAAAAAAAAAGAAAAUAACACCCCCCAUUCCUCCUUGUAUUUCUUAGUUGGCUGAAGAUAUUCUGGAACUUAACACCAUAUAUUUUGGGAGAAAGAAAAACAAACCUAAAACAGAAAAUACCAUAGUUAUUUAAAUAUAGGACUUAAACUCUUGAAGUUUAUCUGCACUUAAAAAAAUUCUUUCCUUUUCUUAAAAUUUUUCAGAAAGGAUUUCACUAUCUCCUUUGAUAGUUUAUUCUGCAUUCUAAAACUCUCUUUUCUCAUGGAUAAUCAAAACCGAUCCUAUAGGCGCCUCUUCUGUAUUCAGUAGAAAAGGUGACUAGCAGCCGGGUGUGGUGGCUCAUGCCUGUAAUCCCAGCACUUUGGGAGGCCAAGGCAGGUGGAUCUCCUGAGGUCAGGAGUUCGAGACCAGCCUGGCCAACAUGGUGAAACCCCGUGUUUACUAAAAAUACAAACAUUAUCUGGGCAUGGUGGUGGGUGCCUUGUAAUGCCAGCUACUCGGGAGGCUGAGGCAGGAGAAUUGCUGGAACCCGGGAGUAGGAGGUUGUGGUGAGCCAAGAUCGCACCAUUGCACUCCAGCCUGGGUAACGAGUGAAACUCAAUCUCAAAAAAAAAAAAAAAAAAAAAAGGAAAAAAGAAAAAAAGAAAUGGUGACUAGCUUCCCCCCACCAUCUUGAUAUAAUGAUGAAAUUCUUCACGCCUUCUCUACCCAAUGAGGGAGAAAACAAACAUGAAAAUAUUGCAAGACACAAGACUAAGUACUAACAUUUGUUGACAAUAUUAAUUUUCUCAAUGUUUAGGUUUCUGAAAACAGAACAUUUACUGUUGACUUUUUCCCUCAUGUUACCAGGUGUAUCUCCAAACAUUCUAGAAACUUCAUGAGAUAAUAAAUUAUUAUUAAGCCUAAAUUAGGUGCUUUAUCUACUUUUUGACUGAAAAAAUUGAAACAUGGAAUAAAUUCAUUAUUUAAUAUUAACAUAGGUCUACAUUUCCUCUGCAAAAUUCUUGACCCAUAACUGCCAAUUUUAAGAUUAAAAAUACAGGCUGAGUGCAGUGGCUCAUGCCUGUAAUCUUAGCACUUUGGGAGGCUGAGGCAGGAGGAUCACUUGAGCCCAGGAGUUUGAGACCAGCUUGGGCAACAUGGAGAAACCCUGUCUCUACAAAAACUACAAAAAUCAUCCUAGUGUGGUGGCAUGUGCCUGCAGUUCCAGAUACCUGGGAGAUUGAGGUGGGAAGAUCACCAGACCCUGGGAGGUUGAGGCUGCAGUGAGUCAUGAUCAUGCCAAUGCACUCCAACGUGGGUAACACAGUGAGAUCUUGUCUCAAAGAAAAAAAAAAAAAGUUGAAAAGGAAAGAAAAAAACUUUUCAGGAAGGGUACACAUGCAAAGCAAGCCUGGCACGUAAUGAGUAUAAAUUAGAAACUAUAUAAAAUAUAUACAUUACAAAAUAUAAUAAGUUAAUGUAUAUAAAAUAGAAAAUAUACUUUUUUGGUUAAUAAAACAAAAUGAUGUGAGGUUAUGAAGAAAUUGUAUAAUUUCUUAAUUGGCUUUGAAAGCAAUUUCAAGCAUCCUAAAAGAGUUUCGAGUGAUAAAAACUUAACUAGAAUAAAAGCUUCUCACAUUCGUAAGAGCAACAAUUACUUCUCUUCCAGUGAUCUCCAAACUUAUUUAAUUACAUAUCUCACCAGUAAAAGGUUUGUGCAACUAUAUAUCCA